rnacentral:miRNA from 1 species
UCUGGUCCACGGUGGUUUAU